rnacentral:rRNA from 1 species
GCCAGCGAUAAUGGCAGCUUGAAAGCACCAGUCCCAACGGAACACUGAAGCAACGUUGUGCGUGGUUGGUAUCUGGACGGGUGACCGUCUGGGACAUGUGUUGUUGGCU